CGUGCCGUCGCAGGCCGGAUUUUCCGGCAUCCCGGCGACGGAAGCCCACAGAGUCCACGUCAAGCUCGCAUCACCGCGUCGCGCCCACGCGCGGCUGAGAUCCCCUUCCCCGCCUUCUCUCCACAACGCCAGCAGGCCCGCGAAGCAGCAGCAAGGCCGCGCUCGGAGGUUAUGUUACUGUUCUGGUGGUGUUGGCGUUCUGGUGCUGCUGCUGUCCAGCAGAACUCCUCCUGGCGCAGCCACCGUCCAACGGAGCUCCUGCCGGCCUCCAUGUCGCCCAAUCGGAAGGUCACUAUCAUUUUCCUGUGUUCAUGCCCUCUGGGGGUGCUGUGGUGGCGGCACUGUCCACGGGAGCUCCUGCUGGUGCUCACUGCGGCUUGCUGCCCCUGCCUUGUUUGACUGCGACCUCUCCUACAGCACCGUGUCACCCAUCAGAAGGUCAUUUUCCUUUUCCUGUGUUCAUGCCCUUGGGGGGUGCUGUUGUGGCGGCACUGUCCACAGGAGCUCCUGCUGGUGCUCACUGCGGCUUGCUGCCCCUGCCUUGUUUGACUGGGACCUCUCCUACAGUCACCCAUCAGAAGGGCGGUAGCUCAUCAAUGUCAGCGUGUACCGCAAUCCAUAGCAAGGAGAGGGUGUCAUCUAAAGCAUGGAGACAGCCAAGGAGCUUGUCCAAAGGCAGGAUUGAAUGAGGUGGCCUUACUACGCCAAAGUUUUGGAACCAUGGGUCUCGUGCUGGACAGUUUCAUUUUCCAAUGCCAUUUAUGAGCCUCACAGUGAUGCUGGGAUUUCUGCUGGUGCUUUUUGCCCAGGAGAAAACAUGGCUGUGAGCUCCUUUUGGCGGAACUUCAAGGUGUGGAUCCAAAGUUCGUCUUUAGAAUCAAGCGAUGGGAAGUCAAUCUGGAUGGAGAUGCCAAUCAGUUGGCUCAUAAAAGUGAGUUGACUAUGAUUUCCUCUAAGCAAUAACAUCUGUUUAUAUUAAAUGGUUAUGAUUGUAUUUACUGUUGACCUAUGUAAUAAUGAUUUAGGGAGCGGUCAUUUCAUUUAUUAUUUUUGGCAAAUCAUGUAGAUGAUGUGUAGAACAAUUAAAAUUUUGUUGGAAGAAACCUAUGACAGUUGCAGCCUUCACAGGUGAUUGAAGGGUCAUCACAUUGUUGGACCCUGAUAAUAAUCCACUUUUUGUGAUUGCAGAAGCACUAUCGGGAUUUUAUUAUUCCCCAUGCUGUACUUUUGCCAUUAUACUAACACUAGUGUUCUGAUUUUUCUUACCUUUCAUGUGCAACCCAUUCCCAAACUUUUCUUCAUUGGGGCAUUGACAUAUUAGAUGUCUCUAUCUCAGAGUUCAAGACCCUUUGUGCAGAAGGUGUAAAACUAUACGA